rnacentral:rRNA from 1 species
ACGUAGGGUGCGAGCGUUAAUCGGAAUUACUGGGCGUAAAGCGUGCGCAGGCGGUUAUGUAAGACAGAUGUGAAAUCCCCGGGCUCAACCUGGGAACUGCGUUUGUGACUGCAUAACUAGAGUACGGCAGAGGGAGGUGGAAUUCCGCGUGUAGCAGUGAAAUGCGUAGAGAUGCGGAGGAACACCGAUGGCGAAGGCAGCCUCCUGGGCCAGUACUGACGCUCAUGCACGAAAGCGUGGGGAGCAAACAGGAUUAGAUACCCUGGUAGUCCACGCCCUAAACGAUGUCAACUAGUUGUUCGGUGAGGAGACUCAUUGAGUAACGCAGCUAACGCGUGAAGUUGACCGCCUGGGGAGUACGGCCGCAAGGUUA